rnacentral:rRNA from 1 species
GAUGAACGCUGGCGGCGUGCCUAAUACAUGCAAGUCGAGCGAACAGACGAGGAGCUUGCUCCUCUGACGUUAGCGGCGGACGGGUGAGUAACACGUGGAUAACCUACCUAUAAGACUGGGAUAACUUCGGGAAACCGGAGCUAAUACCGGAUAAUAUAUUGAACCGCAUGGUUCAAUAGUGAAAGACGGUUUUGCUGUCACUUAUAGAUGGAUCCGCGCCGCAUUAGCUAGUUGGUAAGGUAACGGCUUACCAAGGCAACGAUGCGUAGCCGACCUGAGAGGGUGAUCGGCCACACUGGGACUGAGACACGGUCCAGACUCCUACGGGAGGCAGCAGUAGGGAAUCUUCCGCAAUGGGCGAAAGCCUGACGGAGCAACGCCGCGUGAGUGAUGAAGGUCUUCGGAUCGUAAAACUCUGUUAUUAGGGAAGAACAAAUGUGUAAGUAACGAUGCACGUCUUGACGGUACCUAAUCAGAAAGCCACGGCUAACUACGU